GGGCUGUGGCCCCCUCAGGAAGGCGGGCUGGCAUGUUUGGAGGGAAAUAUGGGCUGCUUUGUGCUCGGAGUUAAGGUGUUCAGGGAUCUGUGUUUGGAUGUGCAGGGCAGUGGCUCAGGUGCCCUGUGUGAAUGGACCAGUGCCGCUGUCAACCUUAUAAAUUAACAGUUAAAGAUGAUCCGGAGGAAGAAUUAAUCCUUGUUAUCAGCUUCAUUAGGAAGAACUACUGCAAUGCAAAAUAUAAAUGUCUCAUGUGAAUGAACUCCACAGUGGCUACGGACACAUAAAUCACAUGAAGCUCAGGACAGCAACUCAAAAGGGCUGGUAGCAGGAAGAGUACAGAGGUAAUUGAGGAACUAUGGAAAUUCCACAUAGGAACUAGCACAUGCUGCUACACAGGCUCCAAAAAUCUUAGAUUGGUUCCAAGUGCUUUAGAGACUACAAGG